rnacentral:rRNA from 1 species
GAUGAACGCUGGCGGCGUGCCUAAUACAUGCAAGUCGAACGCAUAGCGAAAGGUGCUUGCCCCUUUCAAGUGAGUGGCGAACGGGUGAGUAACACGUGGACAACCUGCCUCAAGGCUGGGGAUAACAUUUGGAAACAGAUGCUAAUACCGAAUAAAACUUAGUGUCGCAUGACACAAAGUUAAAAGGCGCUUCGGCGUCACCUAGAGAUGGAUCCGCGGUGCAUUAGUUAGUUGGUGGGGUAAAGGCCUACCAAGACAAUGAUGCAUAGCCGAGUUGAGAGACUGAUCGGCCACAUUGGGACUGAGACACGGCCCAAACUCCUACGGGAGGCUGCAGUAGGGAAUCUUCCACAGUGGGCGAAAGCCUGAUGGAGCAACGCCGCGUGUGUGAUGAAGGCUUUCGGGUCGUAAAGCACUGUUGUAUGGGAAGAACAGCUAGAAUAGGAAAUGAUUUUAGUUUGACGGUACCAUACCAGAAAGGGACGGCUAAAUACGUG